rnacentral:rRNA from 1 species
GUCUACGGCCAUGCCAUGCUGAACAAGCCUGAUCUCAUCUGAUCUCGGAAGCUAAGCAGGGUUGGGCCUGGUUAGUACUUGGAUGGGAGACCACCUAGGAAGCCCAGGUGCUGUAGGUG